AAUAACCAAAUAUAGAACUUGGGUUAAGAGUCGGGUUCAUAAUUUUUCUUACAUCUCCACCACUGGGAGCCCAAGUAUCAUAUACACCUCCAAAAUACAAAGCCUUGAGCACUGGAAGAAAAGC
rnacentral:ncRNA from 1 species